GAGUAAAAUAAUCCUGGGCAUCGCUUUUGCAAAAGAACUUACAACUUAGUAGUACAUGUACAACCAAAUGCUCUUUUUUUCAUAAACUAACAAAUGCUUCAACUUAGUACUGGUAAAAUACAUGUGUGUAUAAAUGUGAGUAAAUUGUUAUAUAAUUUUUUGCAUUAUAAUAAAUGUAUUAAAAAGGUGUAAAUAUUUACUACUUUGUUGUAAGCUCAGUUGUAAGACAUGCCCGCCUGUUCCAUGAGGUUCUUCCUUUUGUCGGUUUUCAAGGGAUAUCAAUUUCGAGAUAAAAGGGUGAACCAAACUUGGAAACAAAAAGUUUGAAUAACAAUUGAGAAUUGGACUCAAGAGAAUACAUUUGCUCCAAGGAGUAUGGAUUUUGAAACUGAAGGAAAUGCUUUUGAGUGCUUAAACAUUGACUCAAAGAUUUAUGAAUGUUGUAAAAUGAAAUAGAAUCCAUUCUGUACCAAAGGAUUGUUACUGCUGGAUAUGGUGCUAAUUGUCUUUGUGUCUUCUUUACAUGUUAAGGUUGUGUAGAUCUGUUUUCAGCAUUUUAUUUUUUUUCUCUAUUUGUGUAAACAAAGUUAACAACAGGAUCAAAAGAAUUUCACUCGUAUUUUUCUACCUCAUCCAUAUUUAUUCUUUUUUUUUCAUCAUCAUUACCGUGGGUUUCUAUUGAAGAGACCAAAUUUAGAUUUUUUUGUUCCUUGAGGCAGUUGUACAUUUGUUGUUAUUUAUUGUAACUGUGCAUAUUGUCAUUCUAUAAUGCUGAUUAUCAGUCGAUAAUACUUCAAAUGCCAAAUAAUCACUGUACAUUUAAUUGAUGAGUAUUAAAUAUGUCAAAAUUUG
rnacentral:misc_RNA from 1 species